GCUCCAGUGGCGCAAUCGGUCAUCAUACGGUACUUAUAUGACAGUAACCUGCAGAGUGACGCCGAGUUCGACCCUCACCUGGAGCA